UUUUUUGCUCGCCGCUUAAUCCGGUUGUUCCCGAAGCUAAAUUAGCACAUUUUCUCCGCUCAGAACUCAGGAUCGCUUUUCCAUGCCGUUUGAGAGAACCACGCUUCCUUCAUCUCGAAGGAUCCACAUCCGCUGCGCCCCGCCGAGGUUACCUCCUCAACCUCUCGCGCAGCCAGAGGAGAGUGGAGCAGUACUACUGGAGGGAAUCCGCACGGGAGGAGCGGCCACGGUGGAGAUAUGCAGGCGGGUCGUCAUCCAUGUGCCCUUGCACGGUUGCUCCGACUUCCCCCCUGCCGGAGCCCUCCUGCUCCGAGGCCCCUCCUCGUGGCCUGACCUUCCCAGUCCGAGGCCCCUCCCCAUGGCUGCCGGCCUUCUCCCCCUCCCCCUCUCUCCAAUCUUCAAAGGGUAGCGGCGCUUGACUGACGGCCGGAAAGGGCAUGAUGUAUGGGGUUGGAGUCCUUCCAAUCUCCUCCUUCCGAUUUGGUUUAGUUUUUUUUUUUCCUUUCUUGCAUCUUCCCCUUCAUGCUUGCCUCCUUGCAAGUUAUUAGAUUUUGGUUUGCCCUCUCCGCUCCAUUGUUCCUCGCCUGGUUCGCGUAUGGUCUUCCUACGCUUUCUUCUGUCUCCAAGUGUCUGCGCCUGUCUUUGUUCUUUUUUCUUUCUUCCUUUUCCUUUUCCCUUUUUUUACAGGCAUCCUCUACCGAUUAUUUGAUUGUAUGUUCAUCGUCCUGUGUUUCCUUGCAGCUCCUUCCGGACGGCUCAUUCUAUUCCAUUGCAUAAGCAUGAAACGCAGCAUUAGAAGACUGAGAAGCAAAAGUCUUUUUCUCGCCCUUGGCAGGAUGAUGUGUUGUCUCCUAUGGAUCACCCUUGAGACGGUGAGCUCAUUAAGUUGAUUUUCUCCAUUGGAUGAAGAUGCAAUAUUUUGCGUAACUUAGUGGCUUCGAAGGGAUCCAUUAGAGGUCCCUAUGGUAGCAUGUGCUUAGGCUUCCCAUAAACACGAGGUUGUCUAAUCAUGCGCUAUCAGAUGAGGAGCAGGCUGGCUUGAAAGAAUUUGCACCGUGGCUUCUUCAUGUUGGUGAGGGAGCAGUGCCCAUGGAUACACGAGAGGGGGAUGAAUGCCUAUCUUUUAGUAACUGCUUAUAAGUGCACCGCAUGGUGUACCACUACUGAAACGAUACCAAAAACGCUGGAAAUUAAGGUCCUGCAAUUGCACUUAGCUGAUCUAGCCUGGACAUAUAUGCAGACAAAGUGCAAAUGCGUGGUGCUCCAUCUAUUUCUAUAUGGUGUCGCCAUCAUGGAACUCUUUCUGUUUUGGUACUGCUAUGGCGCAAGUAUAGAAGUUGUGUACAAACCCUCAGGAGCUAAAGUCGCUUCGUGCAUUUGGUUUAAAUACAAGAGGAGUGGCCAUGGCCAGUUCUUAAUUUUUUGUAUGUUUUCUACCGAUAUAAGGAGCAUACGGCCAACACUUAGCUUUGUUACAUUUUCAAGCAAUAAGCUGAGAACUGCUUCGUCUGACUGUUUA